UCCAUCCCUCCCUUAAAGACAUCAUUAUUUUUUCCCCGAGCUCAGCCCGGUCCAGCAGGGAGGUGGGGAAGGAGGGAAGCCUGCAGACAUGAAGCAGCUCAUUAUUUUUUCCCCGAGCUCAGCCCGGUCCAGCAGGGAGGUGGGGAAGGAGGGAAGCCCGCAGACAUGAAGCAGCUUACACCUCUGGCUAAGCCUCGCGUCCAGCGGUUUCCCCGCGAUUUCAGAGCGCGGCUCCUCCUCGCUCGCUGCCCCAGCUUUCAGCACAAAGCCCCGGCGCUCCUUUUCUCCCGGCGACCAUUACCUCAGACAAGGGGCAACAGCUGGCUCAGAGAAGUUGUAGCUGCUCCAUCUCUGGAAUUCCCAGCUUGGAUGGCACUUGGAGCAGGCUGGGACAGUGGAAGGUGUCCCUGUCCAUGGCAGGGGUGGAGCUGGAUCAUCUUUAAGGUCCUUUCCAGCCCAAACUCUCCAUGGUUCUGUGUAUUCCAAGAGCCCUGUGCCAGGAGACAGCUGCAAAGAGGAUGCUCCAGCUCCUGCUACAUCUUUGCCAGAGUUUCUCUGAUUCUUGCUGACAUUUCCCAUGGAUAAAGGAUGCAGGAUCAGGGUGAAAUCAGAAUAAUGAAAUCACUUUUAUCCCUGGAAUAAAAUGUGGCUGAAAUCAAUGAGAUUUACACUGAAGUGAACUCUGCAGUUGAUAAAAUGUGAGCUCAGAACCAAAGCAAUUUAGGGUAAGAAUGAAAAAAGUAUCAAACCCCCUUUUUAAAAUGCCUUUCCCUCUGCAUGCAGAUCAAUUGUUUCUCCCAGGCUGAGCCUUUGACUUGUUAGUGCUUUUUGUCUUUCAGAUCCAAGGAAAACUUUACAUACAAUUACGGGGACUUGAAAAUAAGAUUUUUAAGUGGAAAUACCAAGAGAGUCAUCACUGCAGAGAGUGGGAUCUCCAAACCUUGCAGGGCAAAAAUUCACCUUCAUUAAAGGUUCAGAACAGAAGGAAUGUAGGAUCUGGUCCUUCAUGUCCUUUGUCUAAGCAGCUGCUCCACAGAAGUUCAUUUAAACCUGUGGAAUGUGUGGAAGAGGUGUUUUCUGCAAUCUAAGACUAGACAGGGGAUAAAUCUCCCUGAUGGGAGAUACUAGGGCCUGGCAGAGGCUGCUCAGAGAAAUCGUGGCUGCCCCAUCCCUGGCAGUGCCCAAGGCCAGAGCAGGCACAAACAGCUCCUGAAAUUAAAAACUAACUUUUGCUGGAAUUGCUGAGGCCUCUGAAGGGGGGAAUCUCGGUGUAAACAUAAAAUCUCCUAUUUUUCGGGUCAGCAAGGUGCAAACCUCGCUGUUGGUGCCCCAGACAAGCCCAGCACACAGAGCAGGAGCAGGGGCUGAGGCAAGGGCUGCCCAGUCCUGUCCUGCAGCAGCAUCGUGCCUGCAUUGCUGUGUCAAUAAAAUCCUCCUGCACUCUCAGUGUUGCCCUAAAAUUGACUUCAAGGGUCGCAGAAAAGGCUAAAAACAAUAAGGGAAAGGAAGAAAGGCUGGUGGAUGGCAGGAAAGUGAAGCUGUGCUGGAGUGAAGCAGCAGGGGUGGGGAGUGGUGGGACAUGGGGUUCCAGUCUCCCUGCAAGGGGGACAGGAGGUGUCCCAGCUAUUUCUGCACCAGCCCAGGGCUGGUGGUGCCCCUGAGCAAAGAGAUUUCCUAAGAACCCAGUUUGGUUCCCAAUUCUCUGAAUUAAAAUCCAAGAGUGCUUUGGAACCACCACGUUCCCUGCCACGAGCAGGGGGAGCAGGAGGAGGAAAACUUUCUUGUCAACAUUGUCCCCUCUGCACCAGAGCUGAUGAGGGUGGAGAGCUGAGGGUACAGAGUGACCUCUGAUCACCUGGAAUUAUUAUGAUCAGCAGAUUUUAAUUAUUGGUAGGGAUUAAAAUAUUAAUCCCUGUGUUGAUACUUUGAACAUUACCCAGAAAUUAUUCUUCCUGUGGGAGCUGAGCACCAGCUCUGGAUUUCUCUGUGUAAUACUUUGAACAUUACCCAGAAAUUAUUCUUCUUGUGGGUGCUGAGCACCAGCUCUGGAUUUCUCUGUGUUAUGGCCCAGCUACAGGAUUCUGUGAACAUGUAAAUUUAAUCCAAACUCACCUGAAAUACAGAAAAUCAUAACAGGAAAAAUGUAAAAUACCCUGUGGUCCUGUGUGACCAAGGGAUUAGCACUGCACCAAUGAACUUUCUCAGUAUGGACUGCUCCAGCUCAGUUAAAAAGGAACUCAUCCUCUCAGCUUCAUCCUCAAUAUCUGCAUUUAUGUGAUGCUGAUUUUCCAGAGCUGCGAUGGUCAACAAGACAUCCCAAUUUUAGCUCAGGGAAUUCCUGGCUAUUGACAACGUGAAUUGAUUUCAGCACAGAACAUUGAGUUUUAGAGGCCCUUGAACACAAACUUAUCAAAAGAGUUUUGAACCUUUGUUUUUAAACACAUUUUAUCUGAUGUCAGGCUUGGAUUGUGUCAGCUCCACUUAGGGGUGGAGAAAUUCUGGUGGUUCUUGUGUGUGGGAAGCCUGGGAGAGCCACAUCCAGCCCAGCAGAGACUCAGCACGUUGGGACAUCACAGAAAUUGCAGGAAAUUCAAAACCUUUUCCAAAGACUUUAAAUAAGGGGAAAGAUUUGAAAUAAUAUUAUUUGAGUGGUGAGGUUGUCCAGAGAGAUUGUGGACUGAAAGUGUCCAAGGCUUGGAGCAACUUGGGAUAGUAGAAGGAGUGGAACGAGAUGGUCUUUACAGCCCCUUCCAACCCAACCCUUCUGUGGUUCUGUGAUUCCAAAAUUUUGGCAUGGUGGUCAGUUAUGGGAGAUAUUUAAUUCCUAAGGAACAUCAGGGAGCUUGGAACACUCAGCAGGAAAAUCUGGGAAGGGCACUGAGGAUGUGCACGAGGAAGGGGCUGCUCCCUCUUUGCUAAAUUUCAAACAUGAAUAUGAUGAAGGUGAUUUUGCCCUCCAUGCUGAAAGAAGGAAAGAGAUGAAAUGUUUUGAUAUGAGAAGAAGUUUUCCAGCUCUCCAUGUUGCCAUAUAUGAGGGCAAGAGGUUUUUUGGAAUGAAGCAGGAGGGAUUCCCGAGGAAUUGGUGGGUGGAGGAGGAGCAGGGCUGGGGUGAAGACACCCCCUGCCUCCCCAUCCCAUUAUCCCAUCCCAUUAUCCCAUCCCAUUAUCCCAUCCCAUUAUCCCAUCCCAUCCCAUCCCAUCCCAUCCCAUCCCAUCCCAUCCCAUCCCAUCCCAUCCCAUCCCAUCCCAUCCCAUCCCAUCCCAUCCCAUC
rnacentral:lncRNA from 12 species